AUACGUAGGUGGCAAGCGUUGUCCGGAUUUACUGGGGGUAAAGGGCGUGCAGCCGGGACGGCAAGUCAGAUGUGAAAUCCAUGGGCUUAACCCAUGAACUGCAUUUGAAACUGUCGUUCUUGAGUACCGGAGGGGCAAUCGGAAUUCCUAGUGUAGCGGUGAAAUGCGUAGAUAUUAGGAGGAACACCAGUGGCGAGGGCGGAUUGCUGGACGGCAACUGACGGUGAGGCGCGAAAGUGUGGGGAGCAAACAGGAUUAGAUACCCUGGUAGUCCACACUGUAAACGAUGGAUACUAGGUGUGCGGGGACUGACCCCCUGCGUGCCGGCGUUAACACAAUAAGUAUCCCACCUGGGGAGUACGAUCGCAAGGUUGAAACUCAAAUGAAUUGACGGGG
rnacentral:rRNA from 1 species